ACGGCGAGCGAAUCCCAAAAAGAAGCGUCCCAGUUCGGAUUGUAGUCUGCAACUCGACUACAUGAAGCCGGAAUCGCUAGUAAUCGCGGAUCAGCAUGCCGCGGUGAAUACGUUCCCGGGCCUUGUACACACCGCCCGUCACACCAUGGAAGUUGGUAACACCCGAAGCCUGUAGCCUAACCGCAAGGAGGGCGCAGUCGAAGGUGGGAUUAAUGACUGGGGUGAAGUCGUAACAAGGUAUC
rnacentral:rRNA from 1 species